GGAGAAAAGCCGGGAUCGAAAGACCUUAUGCUUUUGGAGCGGCCGAUGUCUGAUUAGCUAGUUGGUAGGGUAAUGGCUUACCAAGGCGACGAUCAGUAGUUGGUCUGAGAGGACGACCAGCCACACUGGGACUGAGACACGGCCCAGACUCCUACGGGAGGCAGCAGUGGGGAAUUUUGGACAAUGGGCGCAAGCCUGAUCCAGCAAUGCCGCGUGAGUGAAGAAGGCCUUCGGGUUGUAAAGCUCUUUCAGUUGAAAAGAAAAAGCCGUGACUAAUAAUCAUGGUUCAUGACGGUAUCAACAGAAGAAGCACCGGCUAACUACGUGCCAGCAGCCGCGGUAAUACGUAGGGUGCAAGCGUUAAUCGGAAUUACUGGGCGUAAAGGGUGCGCAGGCGGUUCUGUAAGUCAGAUGUGAAAUCCCCGGGCUUAACCUGGGAACUGCGUUUGAAA
rnacentral:rRNA from 1 species